rnacentral:rRNA from 1 species
GGAGGAAAGCAGGGGAUCGUAAGACCUUGCGCUUUUGGAGCGGCCGAUGCCUGAUUAGCUAGUUGGUGGGGUAAAAGCCUACCAAGGCAACGAUCAGUAGUUGGUCUGAGAGGACGGCCAGCCACACUGGGACUGAGACACGGCCCAGACUCCUACGGGAGGCAGCAGUGGGGAAUUUUGGACAAUGGGCGCAAGCCUGAUCCAGCAAUGCCGCGUGAGUGAAGAAGGCCUUCGGGUUGUAAAGCUCUUUCAGUCGAGAAGAAAAGAUUGUGACGAAUAAUCACAAUUCAUGACGGUAUCGACAGAAGAAGCACCGGCUAACUACGUGCCAGCAGCCGCGGUAAUACGUAGGGUGCAAGCGUUAAUCGGAAUUACUGGGCGUAAAGGGUGCGCAGGCGGCUUUGUAAGUCAGAUGUGAAAUCCCCGGGCUUAACCUGGGAAU